GACGAACGCUGGCGGCGUGCUUAACACAUGCAAGUCGAACGGAAAGGCCCUGCUUUUGUGGGGUGCUCGAGUGGCGAACGGGUGAGUAACACGUGAGUAACCUGCCCUUGCCUUUGGGAUAACUUCAGGAAACUGGGGCUAAUACCGGCUAGGAGCUCCUGCUGCAUGUUGGGGGAUGGAAAGUUUCGGCGGUUGGGGAUGGACUCGCGGCUUAUCAGCUUGUUGGUGGGGUAGUGGCUUACCAAGGUUUUGACGGGUAGCCGGCCUGAGAGGGUGACCGGCCACAUUGGGACUGAGAUACGGCCCAGACUCCUACGUGAGGCAGCAGUGGAGAAUAUUGCACAAUGGGCGGAAGCCUGAUGCAGCAACGCCGCGUGCGGGAUGACGGCCUUCGGGGUGUAAACCGCUUUCGCCUGUAACGAAGCGUGAGUGACGGUAAUGGGUAAAGAAGCACCGGCUAACUACGUG
rnacentral:rRNA from 1 species